rnacentral:rRNA from 1 species
AUUGACCGCUGGCGGCAGGCCUAACACAUGCAAGUCGAGCGGAGUUGCAGACGGGUAAGUAAUGACUAGGUCUCUUCCUGGUCGUGGGGGAUAACGUCCGCAAACGGGCCCUAAUACCGCAUACUAUUCGCUGAGCCUAGGUCGGAUUCGCUAGUUCGUGGGGUACAGGCCUACCAAGGCGACGAUCCGUAACUGGUCUGAGAGGAUGAUCAGUCACACUGGAACUGAGACACGGUCCAGACUCCUACGGGAGGAAGCAGUGGGGAAUAUUGGACAAUGGGCGAAAGCCUGAUGCAGCCAUGCCGCGUGUGUGAAGAAGGUCUUCGGAUUGUAAAGCACUUUAAGUUGGGAGGCGUUACCAACAGAAUAAGCACCGGCUAACUUCGUGCCAGCAGCCGCGGUAAUAC